CAACAAAGGGCACAUGGAGACCUUGUUACCACCUGCUUGUCUACAUCCACAGCUGUAAAAAACAACUGAAAACCACCUCUGAGCCAAGCCUGGAGCCAGACACCAGGAGGGGUGCAGGGAGUUUCAGCUCAGGUGCUGCCAUUGCCCUGUCCCACCUCCUCAGUGGAGGUGCCUGCUUUUCCUUCCUCACCCUGAAGGCCAACCAUGUGGAACCCCAAAUGCCUAUUCAGCUGCUUGCUGAGGGACAGCAGCCAACCUGGCUGGAAAAACGGGCAGCCCAUGGAAAUGGCUGGAAGGUGCUUCCUGGGGAUGGUGUGGCUGUGAUCUUGAGAGCCGCUGGUGGAGCUGAGAGAUCAGACUUCAGCGCGAUUGACACAAAAGGAAGACAACUUUACUGCUUAGGCACAUAGAAUUCAGUUGCUUCCUGUGUAUUAUAUUAAACCUGGAGAGCAUUGUGCAUGUGCAUGUGAUUCAGGCAG